GAUGAACGCUGGCGGCGUGCCUAAUACAUGCAAGUCGAGCGAACGGACGAGAAGCUUGCUUCUCUGAUGUUAGCGGCGGACGGGUGAGUAACACGUGGAUAACCUACCUAUAAGACUGGGAUAACUUCGGGAAACCGGAGCUAAUACCGGAUAAUAUUUUGAACCGCAUGGUUCAAUAGUGAAAGACGGUCUUGCUGUCACUUAUAGCUGGAUCCGCGCUGCAUUAGCUAGUUGGUAAGGUAACGGCUUACCAAGGCAACGAUGCAUAGCCGACCUGAGAGGGUGAUCGGCCACACUGGAACUGAGACACGGUCCAGACUCCUAAGGGAGGCAGCAGUAGGGAAUCUUCCGCAAUGGGCGAAAGCCUGACGGAGCAACGCCGCGUGAGCGAUGAAGGUCUUCGGAUCGUAAAACUCUGUUAUUAGGGAAGAACAUAUGUGUAAGUAACUGUGCACAUCUUGACGGUACCUAAUCAGAAAGCCACGGCUAACUACGUG
rnacentral:rRNA from 1 species